rnacentral:lncRNA from 1 species
AUUGAAAUUUACACUUGUUUUGGUGACUUGAUACCUGCUUUCCUUUUCGUAGACUAUUACUGCUGCUUGCUCAGGUAUGGCAAGGCUCAGCAACCCUUCCUGGGAACAUAUUGUCCAGCUAAUGGAAUUUCCAGGCUCCAGAGCUCAAAUCAAGGGUGCAGGACUGCACACACCACAGCAGCAUCCCAAGUGUGUUUCCAAGUUUCCUGCUGCUUUUGCUGUUCCUGGGGUUGAUAGGAGCUUUCCAGUGACUUGAGCAAAGAAAGGCUGAAUGAGGGAUGUUUUUUGUGCCCAUUCCUUAAAGGCCCUUCCAUCCCUCUCCCUGUCUGUGUUGUCACCUUGGGGCCCAGUGAUUUGUUUCCUUGCUGGCAUUUACAGGAUUGCAGCCCUUGGACUGAACGUCCACCCCAGCUGCUGCCCUGCAACGAAUGCAAACCAGAUCUCCACACUGGAGGUUCCAGCCCUUCCUGAAACACGAGGACACGUGUUGAGAGCACAGAAAGCAGUCAGAAGUACAGCUUUUACCAACUGCUCUGCUGCUUAACAUCUCUGGCAUUCAAAACAUACAACUUCUGUGUUUGUACUACAUUUCCCUAACAGCUUACAUCGAGGCCAAACACACAGCGUUCUGCAGAGGUCUUCUAAAAUAAGCUUAUUUAAAAGAGCAAGGUCAAUGCCCAACACAUGUCAGAUUCUGUGAGCAGAAAUCAAAGAGUUCGGGGCAAAUGGGAUAUGUCAGGACUCGGUGGAUUCCCAUGCCAGGCUCUUUUACCAGGUUCACAUUGCUGCUGCCAAAACCAGUAACAAUCUCAUCAUGUGGACUUCAGCUUUGGAAAAAUGUCUUUAAAAACCCCAGUCUCUGCAUGUGGGCUACUCAUCUCAAUAAGGAAAACUAACACACAGAUAAAAGUGUUUAUCUGGGCAUGCUAUUUAUUGUCCCCGUAACUGUAUUUUUCUUUUAAUGGGACAUGUGCGGAUUCCAUGCUUCAGCCCUAGGCUCUAUUAAAAUCAAAUUAAAAGCAUUAGCAAUUUCGUUAAUUCCAUUUAUAAUAUGACCAUCAAGUCAAGAGAAGGCAGAACAUUAAAACAGAAAUACAUAUAGAUAGAUAGAUGGGAUUUAAGAAUUUUUUGAAAAAAUAUCGUUCCAUUUUGAUCUUUACCUUUUUUUUUUUUUUUAAUAUCAAAACAUGAAAAGUUUUCCUGUAUUCAGAUAAAGUAACUCUGCCUGGUCUUUUAAACCAGAUCUUGCAGAAUGAUAUUUGUGAUUUCAAUUAAAAUACGCUAUUGUCACUUUAGCCUCCCUCUUUGGUAUUUUAAAUUGAUCCUAAUCGCUUUGCCUUAAGUGAUUUGCGUCCCAUCGUGAAUCGCUGUCACUGACAGCGCCUCCCACUACUGCCCUCCCGAUAAUCGCUCCUUCCCCUUCUCCCGGCUCUCCCCCGACCCCGGCUCUGCUCCGGGCUGCGAACUCUUCUCCCUUUCCCAUCUGGAGCUUGGGG